CCAUACCAAACUGUUGCCUCGGCGGGGUCACGCCCCGGGUGCGUCGCAGCCCCGGAACCAGGCGCCCGCCGGAGGGACCAACCAAACUCUUUCUGUAGUCCCCUCGCGGACGUUAUUUCUUACAGCUCUGAGCAAAAAUUCAAAAUGAAUCAAAACUUUCAACAACGGAUCUCUUGGUUCUGGCAUCGAUGAAGAACGCAGCGAAAUGCGAUAAGUAAUGUGAAUUGCAGAAUUCAGUGAAUCAUCGAAUCUUUGAACGCACAUUGCGCCCGCCAGUAUUCUGGCGGGCAUGCCUGUCCGAGCGUCAUUUCAACCCUCGAACCCCUCCGGGGGGUCGGCGUUGGGGAUCGGGAACCCCUAAGACGGGAUCCCGGCCCCGAAAUACAGUGGCGGUCUCGCCGCAGCCUCUCCUGCGCAGUAGUUUGCACAACUCGCACCGGGAGCGCGGCGCGUCCACGUCCGUAAAACACCCAACUUCUGAAAUGUUGACCUCGGAUCAGGUAGGAAUACCCGCUGAACUUAAGCAUAUCAAUAAGCGGAGGA
rnacentral:rRNA from 1 species